rfam:Gossypium arboreum cultivar AKA8401 contig_422_1, whole genome shotgun sequence.
CUGUUAAAUUUUUAUCUAUUUAUAUUGUUAAAAAUUGGUCUUAUACUUCAGAAUGAGGUAUAUGUGACACGUCACAUAUAAUUGUCUAGUUAUCCAUACCAACUUUUAAUAGUAGAAAUGGAUGAAAUUUUUAAGA